AUUGAACGCUGGCGGCAGGCCUAACACAUGCAAGUCGAGCGAGCGUCGGACGGGUGAGUAAUGUUUGGGGACUGCCCGAUCGAGGGGGAUAACUACUGGAAACGGUAGCUAAUACCGCAUACUAUCGGAUAACCCAUAUGGGAGUAGCUAGUAGGUGCGGUAAUGGCUCACCUAGGCGACGAUCCCUAGCUGGUCUGAGAGGAUGAUCAGCCACACUGGGACGGAGACACGGCCCAGACUCCUACGGAGGCAGAAGUGGGGAAUAUUGCACAAGGGGCGCAAGCCUGAUGCAGCCAUGCCGCGUGUAUGAAGAAGGCGCUAGGGUUGUAAAGUACUUUCAGUCGGGAGGCGUUACCGACAGAAGAAGCACAGGCUAACUCCGUGCCAGCAGCCGCGGUAAUUC
rnacentral:rRNA from 1 species